GUCGAAGGCUAAAUCAUUCUCCAAACGUCAGUCGACUGCACCGGACACGCUCCAGAGUCCAGAGUCCGGACUCUGCUGGUCACCAAGGAGCUGGCCUGACACCGGAACAAGAGUUUUCCUUUCUGGCCAGAUUAGUUAGGACUUUUUCUCCUGUAUUUUUUGGAAAUGUGGUGUAGUGAAUUCAAAGUAGGCUAGUGAAGGGCAAAUUUGAACAAUUGUUUGGUGUUUUAAAGAAGAAAAUUUGAAGUAAUUUUUCACGAGGAAAAACAAAAAAAAACGCAGAAAAAUAAAGUCCCGUGAAAAUUUUAACAUUUCCCAGAAAAGAACAACACUCGGAACGACAAACGCUCAAAUUUAGGCAACACGCACAGCCAAAAACGUGAUCCAAAAUAGAGACUCGAAAUUCGAAAAUAAGGGUUGGAAAAUUUUCCUCCUCAAAGCCAGCAAGCAGCAGCAGCCAGAAAGCGAUCGAUAAAUCGUCCCCUUUGCUCAACGUGUAUGUGUGUGUGUGUGUGCGUUUGAGGAAAAGUCUCUUGCACACUUGUCGUAGCAAGCGGUGCGAGGACUCUUUGCCUCGUUCUCGGAAAACACACGCACAAGACAUUUCCACCGCACUGAGUGUGUGUUUGAUUGUUUGUGUGUCCGUCGUGGUGGGGUGAGUGGACCGGACUUACUGCGACGGAAUGUAGAAUUCGAAGAGAGAACUUGCACAGUGCAUCCGAGCAACUCUGCACUGAGUUCCGGUGAGUUCCCCUCGCUCACCAAUACUCCUAAAGUGCUGCAACCGGCAGCAACGUUCGCGACGUUCGCUUGUGUGUUUGCGGGUUUUCCUGAGUGACUAAAGGAAAAAAAGAAGUAAAAAGCAAAGCAAAAAAAGCGCGCGCAUUUUUCGCGAUGAAUUUAUUGUUUUGAGGGAAAACCCCGCGCUAAGGACGCACAGCUAAUGUUUACAAAUAUUGGCGUGGAAAAAGGAGAGCGAGGAAACCCUUUCCCUGCAACGAUGGGGUGGCGUGGCGGUAAAGUGAGCACGUGGUGGGUGGCGAUGCAGGGCAGCACGCGUGGUUCGUGCUGAGCAGCAGACAUAUUGACAGGACUUGAAGCGGUGUUCAAAGGGAAGAAUCUCAACUUUAAACAGACAGAGUGCGAAAGAAGAUUGACGAUUUUUGUGAGGGGUGGGUCGGAAAAAGAUGUCCGACUUGAUGAUUCCAACCAGCCACCACCAACAACAACAGCAACAACACCAUCUUCAACAGCAGCAUCAAAGUGAACAGCAGCAGCAGCAAACAUCGUCCACCGGAAGUGAAGAGCUCAACUUUACCGCCUUUAUCGAUCUGUGCCGGUUCUGUUCCAUCAAGAGUGGACCCCGGCUGAACAUCUUCGACAAGGAGGCGGAACAGCGCCAGCUACUGUUCAAGAUCCGGAACAUUUUGCCGAUUGUGAUAAACAAGGAGGACUUUCUGCCGAAAAAGAUCUGCGACCGGUGCCUGGCCAAGAUCGAGCAGUUCUUCGAAUGGCGCACCAACUGCGUCCAAACCGACGCCAUUCUGCGUAACUACGCCGACUCGAUGCGGGUGGUGACGGCCACGAUAAACUUUCAGGACGGUACGGUAAACAUUGACAAGAUGACGCCCGCGCAGAAGAAUGCCUACCUCGAGGCGCACAUGGCCGUGCAGCAGCAGAUGAUGCAGGCAGCCCAGCAACUUCAUCAGCAACACCAGCAACAGCAGCAGCAGCAGCAGCAACAGCAACAACUGCAGCCGAUUGUCCAAAUUCAGCAUAGUUCGUCCAGGUCGGCCAAGAAGUCGAAGCCGAACAGCCACGAGAGCCAGCCGGUGCUGCAGUUUCACCACCAGCAGGUGCUGCCGCACGUUCCGCAGCACCAGCAGCAACAACAACAACAGUCCAACCAGCACGGACAUCAACAGCAGCAGCAGCAUCAGCAACAGUCCGCAACUCCGACGACAAACCCGCUCACGUUGACGCACUACGCCCACACGAUCAAGGUGCCGCAGCUCAACACCAUCAUCUCCAACUCCAACUCCACCGCCGCCACCACCACGAACGCUCCGACGCCGACGACGACCGCGACCGGGACCGGGGGGGACAGCACCAGUACCUUCACCGUCCCGGACGACGUCGGUAUGGGUUAUGAAGGUGGAGUACGCGUUCUUCAAAGUUUGGGGAAUUGGUCACCGGAGAUACCGGCCAACAUUCCGCGGCCAAACCUUAUUCCCUUUACAGAACCGUACGCCGAGGGGCUCGAUGCACCGGGAACGCGGCUGAAAGCGCUCCAGCAGGUUCAGCAGUCCUCGUCCAAGUCGAAGAGUUCCGCAAACAGUAAGGCCAAGGCCCCGGCGGCCGUCCCGACGGGCCCACCCAAGCCGGUCUUUGAGUGCACCGUCUGCGGUAAGGGCCUAGCCCGGAAGGACAAACUGACGAUCCACAUGAGGAUCCACACGGGCGAAAAGCCCUACAUCUGCGAGGUUUGCGAUCGGGCCUUUGCGCGGCGCGACAAGCUGGUGAUCCACAUGAACAAGUUCAAACAUGUCACGCCGACCAACAUUGCGCCGCUCGGGAAGAGGCAGAACUGUAAUGUGAAAAAAGAAGAAACCAAAAGCGAAGACAAUAAACCGUUGCUAAUUGACCACCACGCCCUGGCCACCCAAACCCUAACAACAGUGGUCAACAACAUCUCCCAACAACAACAGCAACAACAGUCAUCCCUUCAACAACAGCAGCAACAAUCUACGAUCCCCGGCGGAAUGACCCUGCAGCACCACCAGCAGCAGCACCAACUGUCCUGGACCUGCGAGCUGUGCGGCCGGAUGUUCCCGAGCCGGGACGAGUGGACUCUGCACGCCAAGAGCCACUUGGAAGUAGUAUUGACAGCAAACAACGGGCAGCAGUGGGGUGGUGGUGACGUCUGUGGGUGGGACGACGACGACGGGAGGUAGCAACGGCGAGGGGAGUGGUAGCGGAUCUGGAAGUUCCGGUAAUGGCAGCAGCAGUGGCAGUAGCAGCAACAACAAUAAUACCAACAGAGACAAGAAUCUGCAGGCGAUCACGGAGACCUUCUACGGUUCCACCAUCGCGGGCAACGGCCCCGCGGGCCCUCACGGCAUAGUGAUCCCGCACCAGGGUGGCAUCGUGACGAUCCAGUCCAGCCAUCAGCCGCCCCCACAUCUGCUGCAGCAGGUCGUCAACAGU